rnacentral:rRNA from 1 species
GACGAACGCUGGCGGCGUGCCUAAUACAUGCAAGUCGAGCGAACAGGCGCGGAUCUUGUUCCUCUGACGUUUGCGGCAGGGGUGUGUGUAACGUGUGUAUCACCUACUUGUCAGAGUGGGAUAUCUACGGGACACCGGCGCUAAUAGCGGAUGAGAUAUUGCACCACGUGGUUCGAUGGUGAGAGACGGCUUUGCUGUCACUUAUAGAUGGUUCCGCGCCGUUUUAGCUGGUUGGUAAGGUCACGGCUUAUCAAGGCGACGAUGCGUUGCCGAACUCAGAGGGUGAUAGCCCACACUGGAGCUGGGACGCGCACCAUGCUCCUACGGGACGCAGCAGUAUCCAAUCUUCCGCAAUGGGCGAAAGCCUUACGGAGCAACGCCGCGCGUGUUAUGAAGGUCUCCGGAUCGGAAUACUCUGUUAUGAGGUAAGAACAAAUUUGUAAGUAACUAUGCACGUCUUGACGGUACCUAAUCAGGAAGCCCCGGCUAACUACGUG